AGAUUCACUUCCUGGAAAUGAGUAAUCUGAUAAAUCUGAGAUCGAAUGUCUCUUGGAGACUAUGGAGUUCAUGGAGUCCAUGCUGGAAGAAAGUUUAACGACUGCCAAGUCUGAAGCAGGAUUGGAACGUGGGUCUUCCAGACGUCCAACUACCCUAUUCUUCCCAUUGCACCAGGAAAUAGUUGAAUAACCCUGGCUGUGGCCAGUCACACUA